AACCGCACAGUUUUCGUGUGCCUGCCAAUGGCACGAUCCCCGGCAACUAUUGUGCGGUGGCACGAAUUGAAUAACUUUGUAUUUUCAAGUACGGCGCAUUUAUUUCUUAUACUCCAAAGAGAACGGGAACAUAUUUUCCAGUCCCCUGAAGGUUGUUCUCCAAAUUGUUUUCCACAAGAGAAGGUAGAAAAUUGGUCAUGUAGUUUAAUCAGGAAGCGGCAGACGAGACCGUUGUACGUCUCUUCGGCACUAAAACGGAGAGUGGCGGAGAUGGGGAAUCUGGAAAAAGGGGUUCCGACAACGAGUAGGAAAUGACUGUAGAACGAGAACUCGCGGAAACAAAGAGGGCAUGAAAAAAGCACGAAAUAAGUAUAAAAGAACAAACGAGGCCGUCACUUUUGUACUCAGCGAGAACAGCAGAAGCAGCAGCAGCAGUCCUGCAGAUUACUGAGAGCAUAUGAAAUACGUGAAAGGAAACAAUCCAAGUGCUAAAGCCCGGCCUAUACGUAUAUGUAUACUUACGAAAGUACAUAUACCUGU